rnacentral:rRNA from 1 species
UACGGGGGGGGCAAGCGUUGUUCGGAAUUACUGGGCGUAAAGGGCUCGUAGGCGGCCAACUAAGUCAGACGUGAAAUCCCUCGGCUUAACCGGGGAACUGCGUCUGAUACUGGAUGGCUUGAGGUUGGGAGAGGGAUGCGGAAUUCCAGGUGUAGCGGUGAAAUGCGUAGAUAUCUGGAGGAACACCGGUGGCGAAGGCGGCAUCCUGGACCAAUUCUGACGCUGAGGAGCGAAAGCCAGGGGAGCGAAACGGG